rnacentral:rRNA from 1 species
UACGGAGGGGGCUAGCGUUGUUCGGAAUUAUUGGGCGUAAAGAGCUCGUAGGCGGUUUGUCGCGUCUGCUGUGAAAACUCGGGGCUUAACUCCGGGCCUGCAGUGGGUACGGGCAGACUAGAGUGCGGUAGGGGAGACUGGAAUUCCUGGUGUAGCGGUGAAAUGCGCAGAUAUCAGGAGGAACACCGGUGGCGAAGGCGGGUCUCUGGGCCGUAACUGACGCUGAGGAGCGAAAGCGUGGGGAGCGAACAGG